rnacentral:rRNA from 1 species
UACGGGGGGGGCAAGCGUUGUUCGGAAUUACUGGGCGUAAAGUGUGCGCAGGCGGCGCUGCAAGUCGGGUGUGAAAUCCCCGAGCUUAACUUGGGAAUUGCGCUCGAAACUACGGCGCUGGAGUAUGGCAGAGGAAGGUGGAAUUCCACGUGUAGCGGUGAAAUGCGUAGAGAUGUGGAGGAACACCGAUGGCGAAGGCAGCCUUCUGGGCCAAUACUGACGCUCAUGCACGAAAGCGUGGGGAGCAAACAGG